rnacentral:tRNA from 1 species
CAAUUUAGAGCUUGUAUAAGUGUCUUAGUUACAUUAAGAAUAAAAGUGUUGAAUCAUUUUAAAUUGA